rnacentral:misc_RNA from 1 species
UGAGCCCGUCCUCGCCUUCGUCUCGCGCCCUUCCGGGGCGUGGGAUGAACAAGUCGGUGCCCCGCGUGUUCCUUCAGGAGCCAUCCGAUGGCUCCUGCCUCGGCCCACGCUCGGUAGCCGGCACUCUCGGAUGCUGAAAAUUGUGUGGGCAGAAGGGUUCAACCCCUUCAUAACAAGCCCGGGCCUAGCGCUCGUCCCUCGAACCGAAAGACGCCGCUCAUCGCCUUGGCCUUACCGAGCCAUCAUCGGUUCUCGUAACGGCCAUGCGUUGCGCUGUCG